rnacentral:rRNA from 1 species
GACGAACGCUGGCGGCGUGCUUAACACAUGCAAGUCGAACGAUGAAGUUCCUUCGGGAAUGGAUUAGUGGCGAACGGGUGAGGAACACGUGAGAAACCUGCCUUUCAUUUUGGGAUAACUCCGGGAAACCGGGGCUAAAACCGAAUACUCCGUCUCGGCGGCAUCGCUGAGCCGGGAAAAAAUUUUGAUGAAAGAUGGUCUCGCGGCCUAUCAGCUAGUUGGUGAGGUAAUGGCUCACCAAGGCAACGACGGGUAGCCGGCCUGAGGGGGUGGCCGGCCACACUGGGACUGUGAACAGGCCCUGACUUCGUCGGGAUGCGGCGGUGGGCGAGAUUGAGAAACGGGCGCAAGACGAACCCCUCGAGGUCGCGUGAGGGAUGAAGGCCUACGGAUUGUAAACCUCUUUCAGUAGGGCAGAGGCGAAAGUGACGGUACAUAAAUAAGAAGCUCCGGAAAACUAGCUGCCAACAGCCGCCGUAA